rnacentral:lncRNA from 1 species
GUGUAUUUUAAAUUAGAUAUUUAGUAUUAUUUGUGUAGGGAAUGAGAAAAUUAAAUCGAGAGAUUUUUAGGAUUUUGUUAUGUUUUAUGAGUUUAAAUAGUUCUACCCAAGUAGAAAUACUAAAUAAAUUUAAUACAAGUUCUCAACAAAUUUGAGCAUAAUUUCCUUUAUAAGAAUUGAAAUGUCAAACUUUAAUGAAAAUAAAUUUCGAUAAAAAUGCAAAGAUAUGUAGUGUCCUAUGUGUCACCCUUGAAAUAUAUAGUAGAGGUACGUUAAAAUUUCUGAAAAUUUAGUUGGAGGACGGAGUCUCCCAAUUUAGUACUAAUUAUAAGUCUAACUUAGUGGUAAUAAUAAUUGAGCGUAAUAUAUUGUGUAGUAGAUUUUUGUUUAUAAUCGCCUUAUGAUUAUAUUUUGAUGGCAAUUUUAUUUAUUUACGCACUUAAAAUUCAAAACAUGUUUAAUUAUAAAUUAAUUUCACUCAUGAUUAUAUCUUAACAAUAUAUCUUAUCAGUUAUUUUUUAUCAAUAAAUAAAAUUAUUUAUUAGGUAUAUAAUAUAAUUGUAUGGAAAAUUAGGAUUAUUUUAUAUUAUAACGAAGUAAAACUUAUGUAAAGUGAACACAACCUAAGUACGAAAAAUAAACACUGAAACCUCACAUUGUUCUUAUAUUCUUCUAGAAAAUCAUUUUCAAUAUGAACAGUCUCUAUUGUCCGGUGAGUUUAUUCUAUAAAUCUAUUGAUAUAUUUUAGUAAUUAUAAUUGGAAUAUUUACAUUUAGGUAUACAAGUAGUAACAAUAAUACUGAAAAUAAUACAGUCAAUGAACUAGAAUAUAAUAUUGAAAUUAAUGAACUUUGUGAUUUAUCCUACUAAGAAAUAAUUAUCAAUAUGAAAAAAACUAUAUUAACCAGUAAAAUUAUCAUGUAAAUUAUAUUAAUACACUUUGUUAAUUAAAAUUCCAAUAUUUUCAUUUAGGUACCACAAAGUGUUAUAAUAAUACUGAAAAUCUUGCAGUCAAUGAACUAGAUAGCGACAACUUGGACAAUAUUGAGGCCCUGUACAGUCAUUUUUGCAAGACCUUGAUAAGCUUUAUUUUUGUUUUUUUAUUUUCCAUUACCUAGCAUAGGUAGACCUUUAAAUACAAUUUUUCAUUGUUUAUUAAUAUUAAUUUGUAUUUUUUUAAAUAAUCAUGUGAAAUUACUAUCUAGCUAUGACAAUGACUAAACAUGGUACUUCUAAAAGCGUGGGGUUUUGUGUCACAGCUUGUAAAAAAACUUCCUUCAAGUAGGCCCUGAAAUUAGAACUUCAUAUUGAAUGUAAUUAACUUUGUGUUUCUGUACAUCAAGAAAAUGAUGAUCAAUGUAAACAAUCUUUAAAAACCAGUAAGAUGAUAUUAUACAUUUUAUUAAAUUGAUACAUUUUGGUAUAAUUAAAAUAAAUUGGAAUAUUUACAUAUAGGUACUAGAAGUUUUAACAAUAAUUCAGAAAAUUAUACAGUAUUUAAAUUUGAACAAAAUAUUGAGCGUAAUUAACUCUAUGAUUCUGUCUUUUGAGAAAAUAAUGAUCAAUAUGAACUGUCUUUAUCAGCCGGUAAGGUUAUCUUAUUAUAUUUUAUUAACAUAUUUUAAUAAUUAAAAUUAAAAUAUUUUUAUUUAGGUACCACAAAUUGUUAUAAUAGUGAAAAUUAUGCUGUCAAUAUAUUCAAUCGACUUGGUGUUUCUGUCCUUUGUGUGAAUAAUGGUCAAUAUGAAAAACCUACAUUAACUUGUGAGAUUGUCAAAUAAAUAUGAGUUGAAAUGGGCCAUCUAUCAGUCACCUGCAUCUAUAUAUAAAUAUGGCUGCAUUUGAAUUUCAUGCCAAAAAAAAGAGCAUUGUUAGUUGACAACCAAGUUACAUGCGAUUAGUUAUGAUUAUAAUUUAUAGAUAAAUAAAUUUUAUAUAGUUCAGCGAUUUAUAAUUUUUGAUGAUCAAUCAAUAGUAAAAUUUUAUUUCAAACACUGUGUACUGUGAAUAAAAUGGGGAGGGGUAUUAUACCAUAAGUGCAUCAACUGUUUAGGAAUUCCUUUAAGGCUCAAGAUCAUUCCUACAUUGAUUUUGAAGAAAUGUUACAUUAUUAUUUGAACAUAAUCUAAUUGAAGAUUGGCGAAUUGGGCACGAAAAAAACCGAAGUUGACAAACUGUACAAUAUGUGCAAUAUGUACUUACAAAAAAAAAAAAUGAUGUAGACAAUUUAUACGCUAUAGUGGUUUCUAUUGCGUGAUAAAAAUACAAAGCCAAAAUAACAAAAACAAAAAGAGCACAAUUUGUAAAAAAAAUCAAUAACACAUGUAAUUUGUCAAGAUUCAAGGUGAAACUAAGUUUUAAACUAUCUAUGUAAGUAUACAAGUAUACUUUUUAAACAUCCUUAAAGAUGAUGUCACUUAUGCCGAAUUUGUUGAAAAAAUAAACCCUUGACGUGAAAGAGGUCAUUUUAAGUUCGGAGCAGAGCGAGGAAUGUAUUGGUUUGCAAUGAAGUUUAUUUUUUUUUUAUGCUGUGUAGAAGAUUUCAACUAGCUCCAAAUAUCUAAAUUGAAAGUGAAAAUUAACUCUCCAAUAUCAAAUAUAUAAAAAUAAGUAAUCCAUACAAUAAAUCAAUCUAUGUACAAAUAUUGAAAGAUUUAGGAAAAUAUACAAUUCCCAAUGUUCAUAUUGCACAUGACCAUGUUCAAUAUGAACUGUAAACAUGUCAGUAGGCAGCCUAAUGUAAUUAUGAAUAUAAUAUAAUAUAAUAUUUAACCUUAACCUGUCUUAUAUGAUAAUUUAUGUAUAGCAACAAGUAUUCAAAAACAGAAUGCAAUGAAAAGUUGAUGAUAGCAGUUUUAACACUAGGUUGAAAGAGUGGCAUUUUGAAAAAUAUACUUUAAUUCGUAGAAGAACUUAAUGAAUUUUUCUCAGACACGGGAUAUCUGCUAGCGAAUUGUUAUACCAAAGAGUUGGAUGCAAGUUUUAAAUUAUUUUUAAAUAAUAUUGAUUCACUUCAGUCAUUUAGCCUCAACAAAAUUUCAAAAAGGUGAGUAAUAUUGUACAAGGUGAUCUAUUAAUCAUAUGACACUCAUUAUAAUGAGUACCCUGUAGAUAUUGUAUCAUUAUUCUUCCAUACUAUCUUAUGAACAGACAACCGAAAAAAAACUGCAUAUUUGUUAAAUUUAAAAAUAAUGUUGUUUUCUAAUAUACAGAUUUAACAAAUAAUAAAUUUAAAUAUCCAAACAUAUCAUUCAUGGAAGCCAUAAUUUUAGUAAUUGUCCAUAAAUGUAAUGAAUUUAAAAAAGAAACCAACUUCACAGUAAAUAUGAUGGUUUGUCUAAUAUUAAUGUAAUAUUAAAUUUUGAUUUUCAAUUUUAAUUUUAGCUAUCCGAAUUAUGCCUGUAUACAAAGCAAAUGAUGGUGUAUGGUCAAUUUAGGCAACCUAAAUACAAAAAAUGAUAAAAAAAAUUAUCAGUAGAGAUUAAUUUUCCUUACUAAAAAUAAUUCACACACAGAAAUAACCACAAUUAUGUUAACAUCCUGAAUAUAAUUUAAAAUAGAGUUUAUUAUUAAAUGAGAUUUAUAGUUUGAAAGUGGAGGAUUAUUAUAAGUUUGUAAAUAAACAUAAAGUGCUGCGUAUAAUCUUGUUUUAUUGGUUAUUUAACAUUAAUUUUUUUUUUUCAGGAGUAUAACAACAAGGGUGAAAGUCUUACAGUACUUUUGUUAAUGACUUUUUAACAAAAAAAGUAUAACUAUUCUAUUAUGACAUUAUUCACGAAGCAUACAACAACUAUAAAGACAAGUAUCUAAAUACGCUAAAUGAUCUAAUACAGAUAAUUAAAUUACAAAAAUCGCUAAUUAUAAUACAUUUCCGUUGACAUCCACCGCUAUCUCACAAAAAAAUUAAUUGAACUUUAACAAGUAAAUAAAAAAAAACUUAAUCAAUUUAUUAUUAUUUCUAGCACAACAAUGGAAAUGAGAAAACUAUUAGAAGAUAUUGUAUGAAGAUAAUGAGUGCCAAAUCAUUCUUAGCUGCCUUAUCUUGUAAUGGUGUCCUGUCUGGAUACUACUAAAAUUUCCGUGGUCUCAGGACAAAACUUAUCAAAAAUAAUUGCAGUUCUUUAGCUUUAAAUUUUAUUUUUAUUGUACUAAUCGAAACUUGGUUAACAUAUUACUUUUUGAAAUCUGAGCUUGGGCUUGUUAACCAGAAUAUUUUUAGUUAUGCCCGUUGUAAUGCUACCAUUAACUAUUUUUACUGUGGAGGGGUCCUCAUUGUUGUUCAUAAGGAUAUCUGCUUUCCCUGUAAAUCAAUUAUUUAUGGAACACUUCUUUGUUUAUUUUUCUAUUGGUUUAUCAAAUUUUAUUAUGAAGGUGUAUACAUUCCAACAAAAUCUUUCCUUUUAAUCUAUGAAUCUCAUAUUGGUUCUAUUGAGCUUUUUUUCAAGUGUUACUCAGAUAAUUUAUUCAUUAUUUGUGGUGACUAUAAUUUCCCCGAGGUUCCGAUUGGUUUAGUGCACUGAGUUUGUCACUUAAUAUUUCUAAGUGUAAAGUUUUUACUUUUGUCAAGAUGAAAUCUCUUGUGUUUUUUUUUUUUGUACUCCUUUAACACCUUUAACAUAGUCAAUAUUCUGUACAUAAUUAAUAGUAUUUUAGAUCUUGAUUUUAAAUUCACUUCCAACCUUGGGCCAAAACAACAUAUUGAAUAUAUAUUCUGCAAGGUGUUUAAAUUGCUGGGCUUUAUUAUUAGAUUGACUAAUGAGCUAAAUCUAAGUGUAUCAAUCAAGGUACUUUUGUGUGCCCCAUUUUGAAGUAUGGAUGCACUAUUUGGGAUCCUUAUACUGCUUGUGACAUGUGGCAAAUUGGACGAGUCCAGAAUAAGUUUUUACGUUUUGCUAGUUAUAUUUUAAAAUCCACUAUCCACCUCAUGACUAUUCACCAGUAACUAAUCUUCUUGGCUUUUUUUCAUUGGCUGAGCAAAGGUGAACUGCUCGAUAUAGAUUAAUUGAAUGACUAUUAAAUGGCAAAAUUGAAUCCACUGUUGCGUGCCUCACGUAAAAAGACAUGUGUGAACUGUAAAUGGUAAUAGCUGAAAUGUGUGCUACCUAAAACCUACUCAAUACCUACCGAAAUACCUACUCAAUAUAGAUGGGCCUGUAAUUGUAAUGUAAUUGUAACUGUAAUGUACCAAAAGUUGCUGUGGCCUCUCAGUUUCAGUACACAGACCCACACCGGUCAUAUUCUAAUUUCCAAUACAAAUAAACAAUAGUAUUUAAGAUACUAUAGUAUAUUUCUUGUUUAUGUUUAUAAUAUUUAUAUAUUAUGCAUUUAACAUUAGCAUGUAUAGUUUACAGUAUUGGCCAUUGACAACACAAUGAGGUUGAUUUGUGUUGAUUUACCUAAUAAAGGUGAAAGCAACCGAGAUUUCGCAAAGUUAAAUUAGUCUAAUUGUAUUGAUUUAUUAAUUAUUAUUUUAGUGUUUACUGUUAUAUUUAAAUUGUUAACAUUGUUAUUAUAUGCACUUUAUAAAAUACAUACAAUUUACAAUAAUUAUGAGUACAAAAUUUUUGUAUAAAUAUUUUAAAUUGAAAUGUAUAAUCUUUAUUUGAAUGUAGUAUGACCUCGAGUAUGCAACUAAUUUAACCGUUUUUUUAUUAAAAAUGUGUUACUAGUAUCAUUACCUUUUUUUUUUUUAAUAAGUCACUAUUUUCAGUUUUUCUAACGCCAAAUUUUUAUGCUUCAAUGGGCUUAAAUAUUAUUAAAUUCAUAAUUGUAAACCUGACCUAUUGGUUUAAUAUUAC